rnacentral:rRNA from 1 species
GUCUCUUUGAGUUUUAUUAAUAAGAGUUGGGCCUGCUCGGUGAGAAUAAAAUUUAAMGGCUGCGGUAUUAUAACUGUACUAAGGUAGCAUAAUAAUUUGCCUUAUAAAUUAGGGCUAGAAUGAAUGGUUGACGAAAAUUAGACUGUCUCUAUUUUAUUUAUUGGAAAUUAAUUUUUAUAGUGAAAAAGCUGGAUAAUUUAAAGGGACGAGAAGACCCUAUUGAGCUUGUAUAUUAAUAUUUAAAUGUUAGAUGGUUUAUUUAUUAUAUUGUUAAUAAAUGAAUAGAUUUUUGUUGAUUAAUAAGUAUGGAUGUUUAAUUUAAUUAAUUUUGAUUGGGGUGAUCAAGGAAUAAAAGAAAAGAAAUUUAAUAACUUCCUUAAGUUUUGAAAUGUUUAUUGAAUAAUAACCAAAUUUUUUUGCUUAUAAGAUAAGUUACCAUAGGGGUAACAGCGUAAUUUUUUUUGAGAGUUCUUAUUGAAAAAAAAGAUGCGGCCUCGAUGUUGGAUUAAAAAUAACCUUAAGGUGUAGAGGCUUUAUUAGGUGAAUCUGUUCGAUUUUUAAAAUUUUAC